rnacentral:tRNA from 1 species
GGCCCUGUAGUCUAGCGGUGAGGACGUCGGCCUUUCAAGCCGAAGAUCGCGGGUUCGAAUCCCGUCGGGGCUACCA